UGAUAUGAUACGAAAUGAGAACAAUUUGACGUCUUGAUCGUACGAGGAGGGGAAAAAAAUGUCAGCAUCCGUCCCUGUUUUUCAUUAUUUAUUUAUUGAUUAUUGUUUGUGUUUUCUAAGGUCAAAGAAGGAAUCAAAUGGGUUCUAAUGAGUGUUAGAUUGGUUCAUGGUACAGAAGAAGGGUUAGACUACCACCAGUGUCAUGAAACUACCCCUGGAAAUGCCCAAAACUCCUACGAAAGCCUUGUCAAAUAUGCAUUUCUUAGGUUCAUGAUACAGAAGAAGGGUUAGACUACCACCAGGGUCAAAAAACUACUUCUGGAAAUGCUCAAAACUCCUAUGAAAGCCUUGUCAAAUAUGCGUUUCUUAGGUUCAUGAUACAGAAGAAGGGUUAGACUACCACCAGGGCCAUAAAACUACUUCUGGAAAUGCUCAAAACUCCUACGAAAGCCUUGUUAAAUAUGUGUUUCUUAGGUUCAUGGUACAGAAGAAGGGUCAAACUACCACCAUUGUCAGGAAACUACCCCUGGAAAUGUCCAAAACUCCUACGAAAGCCUUGUCAAAUAUGUGUUUCUUAGGUUCAUGGUACAGGAGUAGGGUCAAACUACCACCAGGGUCAUGAAACUACCACUGGAAAUGCCCUAAACUCCUACAAAAGCCUUGUCAAAUAUGUGUUUCUUAGGUUCAUGGUACAGAAGAAGGGUCAGACCACCACCAGGGUCAUAAAACUACUUCUGGAAAUGUCCAAAACUCCUAGGAAAGCCUUGUCAAAUGCGUGAACUUUGCCGACAAAAUAUUUGAUAAUACAGCCCAUAUACGUAAACACAUAUAAAUAAAAACAUGUACAAAACAACCCACUCCCUUC